CUCCCUUUGUCCCAGAAACAGACUUUGCAGGUCUUUGUGUCUCUCAGACAGCAUGAAGGGGCUUUUUGUUGGACUUGUGAGGACUCGGCGGGCUCUGGGGACCAGAGCAGGCCUGAUGGUGCAACAACGAGCCGGUUAUAUCUCCGGGAAACCCCCCAAAGACCCCACCAGCCCCGCGGAGUCCAUGUUGGUGCUGACCUCGAUGGCCUUAGUCGUCCUGGGACCUUCUGGUUGGGUCCUCGCCAACUUGGACCAUUAUAAAGGGAUUGACUGAUGGACGUGGCCCUGAACGCAUCAUUCCCUCUUCCAGUGUGCUGCUGUGAAACCAUUUGAACAUUUUGAGACGUUUUGUUAACAUAAUAAAGUUUACUUCUUAAUAUCA